ensembl:lncRNA
GCUGACUGCCAGUGGGGAAGGAUCUCUUUCUGGAGAUCACUCUUUUGGAGUUUUUCCUCUGAGCCUUGGAUGUGGGCCAUUAACACUCUAAACAACAGGGAUUCAUGUGCAGGUAUCUGAGGAACUCUCCAGUGUGAUUUAUAGCAUAAGAAAGUCCAUACUAUGUCUGAACAAAUAUCUCCCAAGUGCCUGUGUGUUGUCUUCAGUAGUGGAUGAUCAGGGAAAGUACAUUAACAAAGAGCAUACACUUCUAACUUCUGAGUCUGAGAACUAGUUUUUCUGCAAUAUCUUUGAUAGGAUCCCAAUUUCUGAAAUCUAUUAGUGAUCUAUGGGUAAUUUCCCAACUGUUUCCCACAUAUGGACAUCAAAUUAAUCUGUUAUAAUGAUGUUUAGUCUGGAGUCACGGACCUCAUGUUGCUGAAAUUUUAGGAAAUGCCUCAAGAAGAAAAGAAAACAUAACAAGAAGUUGCCAUUAUCUAAGUUUAGACAUUUCAGCAUCAAGCAACACUCAUUCUACAGCAUAUUAAUUGUCGGAAUAAACCUGGGAUGCUGUUAUGUUUACACUUCCUACCCAGCAGUACUCGCCAUGUAGAUAUGUUCCUCCUGUUCAGUUACACAGACGCAGAGAAUGUGCCGUAGUUGAAUUCAGCUGUUCAAUAGCCAAAGAGGAGUUGUGGAAUUACAAGGACUUUUGAAACUUGAUACUUCACAUGUAUUGUAAUAUGUAAUGUACUUUUGGGACACAGAUACAAAUGCUAACAUUAAAUAGGUCAAAAAAAGCAUUACUUUAUUUGCAGAUGUUUAUGUAAUUUUGAGAUAUAAUUUCUAUUCCAACUAAAAUUAAUACUGUCUAUGGUUCUUUCAAAACAUUCAGACUAUCAACGAAUUGGCUUGCACAGAAAAAAAUAUCUGAAGGACACAUUAACCUGUAGAGUUGCUCCAUAUCCUACUCACCUACCAGAGAGCUUGCUCUGUUUUAUAAUUGUUCUCAUGUGUAGCAGAACUUUUUCAAUCCGAAUUCUACUUUCAGUCAACUGGGAAGUAGUAUAUAUGUGCAUCACAUUGGCUUAUGCAUGUAUUUACUUUUACUUAUACUCUGGUGUAGAGGUUGCGAUUUAUUAUCUUAAUUAAAAAAAAUGCAAUAUAUGAUUCUUUGGUAGACUUUUAAGUUUCUUUUCCCUUCCUGUUCUAAGUAUAAGAUGUAAAUAUGUUGAGGAUGGUGUGUGUGACAUAUUAAUUUUAUCAGUUUUCUCUAUGAGGUUAGAAAAUUAUGUCAUUAUCGAGUUUUGUGUAAACAAAGCUAAUUUUCUCAUCUUCUGGACAGAAUUUUUUCAUGUCUGCUAUGCAUAUUAUAGAGGAAGGGAAAUAAAUGUUCUUAAUCACCUUAAAAAGUGAUUUUGUCCUGACAAUUUUUUUAUAUUUCUGUGUCUUAUAUGUACUUCAUCUGUAAAUUCUUCCAAUAAUACAUUAAAUUCUUACAGGAG